GUACUACUUUGGCUACCAAGAGCAUCCACAACCAUGAUCUUUACCAGCACUAGAAUUCACAUUUAACAGAAUCUUUUCCCUCUUAGAAAUCUUCUUGCCAAUGGGAUUGACAAAUGCUGGAAAACUAAAUGGUACAUUGAGACUGAAUUGACCUUAGUGAUACAGUAACUUUUGAGACCAAGUCACUUUGACCUUCCUUCAACCCAAAUUGAAGAACUCUUCUCUGGUAUGGAUGCUCAUCCAUACCAGAGAAGAGUUCUUCAAUUUGGGUUGAAGGAGGGUCAACUUUCUCAAUCAAAGAGACUUGGUCUCAAAAGUUACUGUAUCACGAAGGUCAGUUCAGUCUCAAUGUACCAUUUAGUUUUCCGGCAUUUGUCAAUCCUAUUGGCAAGAAGAUUUCUAGGAGGGCAAAGAGAAGAUACUGUUAAAUGUGAACUCUGACGUUGGUGAAGAAAUUUUAUGCAAGAAUACUAGCCAUGGUCUAAACGCAUGCAAUUCUUGUAGGCCUUAAUGUUUCAAUCAGCUUCUAGUAGCUUGACAAAGGAAGUGAGGUAAUGAUUAUGGUGUGACAUGAGCUAAGGCGUGAAGUUGGUAAAAUGGGUUUCUUUUAUGAUGCAGAGAUACUGAUUUGGUCAAGUGCUUCAGUUUCUCCUACAAUGUCUACUCGAAGGAUUUAUUUGGUGGUGUGCUUUUAUCUUUUUCCUAGAAACAACCAGAGCAUGAAGGUUCAUUGCCAUUGAUCUGCUGCAUAUUUGGUGCCAAACUUUAAAUUGAAUGUGUUAUAUCUAGCCUUUUGAACCAAUCCAUUACUAAGCAGAUAGAUACAUGUUUUUUUGAGAUUAGUGAUGAAGAUUAACAACUCCAGUUGAGUAGUUCCAUUUUGGUUUAUCAGAGUUGGUUGUUGAAUUUUUUUUGGUUGUAAGUUAUACUUUAAGAAGACAUUUAACCAUAACUCAACAUCAAUCAGGAGAUAUGAUUCUGGAGGAAUCAUUCAAUGAGUCUGCAAUCUACAAUCAAAUUAGUUGAGCAGUUGGUGAAAGCCAGCAUGAUCAAUAAAGUACAAUGAUGUUACUAUUCAAAUUUUCUGCUUUAUACAAAGUGUACAAGCAAGCUUUGCAUCAUGUUCAUUAAUUAAUGGAAGGAUAUACUUGUUGCAUGUUAUCACCAUUUCCAUCCCCAGUUAUUAUGAUUUUGGAUUAAGCCUGUCAUCCUUUUUUUUUCCAUUUGAAGUUCAUUGAUCUACUUAUGUGAAACUGGAGUGGAAUUCUCUUCUCAAAGU